rnacentral:lncRNA from 10 species
UGCCCCAGCCUCCUGAGUAGGAUUACAGGCACGUGCCGCCAUGCCUGGCUAAUUUUUGUAUUUUCAGUAGAGACGGGGUUUCACCAUAUUGGCCAGGCUGGUCUUGAACUCCUGACCUCAAGUGAUCCCCCCCAUCUCGGCCUCCCAGUGUGCUGUAAUUACAGGCUUGAGCCACUGCGCCCCGCCUUAAUACGUAUCUUUGAAGAAAAAUAUAAAGAUGAAUGGGGUGUGUGUAAAAAUAUAGUUACCAAAAGAAAAGUGGAUUGUUGAGCAUGCAUAAUCGACAUGAAGGAAAUAAUAGAUGAGAUUGAUAGAUGCGAUACACCCAAAGAACGAGUUAGCAGGCUCUGUUGUAAAGGCAAAUAUUUCCUCCAGGACACCAGAAGAAAUGAAGAAAUGGAAAGUGAAAAAUCAAAAACUGAGAUGUAGAGGAUAGUAGAAAUAACCAUAUACUACAAUUCCCAAAAGAAAAAGAGACAACACACGAGGAAAAUACACGAAUUAAAAUUUUCUUGUAAUUAAAAAAGAACGAAAGGCCUCAAAUUGGAAGAGAUUGAUGUGGUGCCAACACGCCUGGCUGCAAAUUUGUCUUUAUAGACUGGAAUUUCUUCGUAACA